UAGCCAUUGCGCUCCCUGGCACGUAUGGAUGUAUCCUAUUCAGGACAAGGUCCACACGGACAUUCAACUCCUCUGUAGCCUGCAGUAGAAACAACGGGGAAUAGUGCUGGAAGAUGGGCAGGAUAACCAUUCAGAGGAGCAACUGGCUGGGGCCCCAAAGACCCAAGGGCACCCCUGAGCCAAUGUUUUGCUCCUUGGAGGCACACGUCUUGCCGUCCCGAGUCAGCGAACGAGCACACCUGUGACCCACCGCACGGGCGACGAAAACCGGAGACCGGGAAAAUGGCUUCCCUCUUUGAGUUCCUGAGAAAGAGCAAACUUUCUAUGUGCUUCUCUUUAAAAUGCAACAAUGUAAAGGUCACAGAGGAGGAGAUGAAACUCAGAGUUGUAAUAAGGCAGGAGAAAUAAAAAAUAAUGACAGAAAUAAAUUGUCAUAAGAGGGGAU
rnacentral:lncRNA from 1 species